AAAUUCAGCUAGUUAUUGUUUUGAAUGCAGAUUACGUCUCUCACUCUCAUCUUUCGAUAGUCUGCACUUAUUAAAGGCUAUACAUCUAUUUUGAUGCUAUCCAUUUGAUGCUCAAGUGGAUGGAGAGUUGAAUCUCUCAAUUGAUGAUUAUGCUGUGGUUCGUGAGGUACUACCAUAUGAUCAGCUAAUGCAGGAGUUAGAUGUUGCAAAUGUACGUGAACUCGAGGAUUUUCUCAUUAAUGAGUGCAUGUAUGCGGGCAUAAUAAGAGGAAAGUUGGACUAGUUAAGAAAAUGUUUUGAGGUUCGAGAUUUGUCU